rnacentral:snRNA from 1 species
GGAUGUGAGGGUGAUCUGGCUGUGACAUCUGUCACCCCAUUGAUCACCAGGGUUGAUUUGGCUGAUUCGGCUGCCUAGGCGGGUGUCUCCUUUCUCCCUCACCGGUCCAUGUGCUUCCCUCCAGAAGCUGUGCUUGGGGUGGAAGAGGAUGACCUUCCCAGAUAGAGGAGGACCAUUCUUCAGUCAAGGGUAUAGGAGUAGCUGCGCUCCUCUGCUAGGAGAUCAAACAAGCUCUCAAGGUCCAUUUGUAGGAGAAAGUAGCGUCAUCAAGCUUCCAAAACUCCAGACACAUCCAAACGAGGCACUGCAUGUGGCAGUCUGCCUUUCUAA